AUUCUUGCUUUUUUUUUGGUUUUCGUUUUUUUAAAAAAGAGGGAAAAAACCAUCCGGUUUCUGAUCUGCCAGUGUGUUGGUCUAAGUCCCCGAUGCAGAUCAGUACCUGGGCCCCUCUAUUCCUUCCUUCUCCAUUGGAGCACUAUGAUAAUGGAAUGUGAAGGGAGAAAGAGAAAAGAAAUGCAGCUGCUAUUCCCGCCGCUGCUUUAGCUACAAAUAAAAUGACAGAGUGAAGUGAGCUCGUCCGGAGACACCUUCAUCAAUUAAUUCCCCUAAAGCCAGCGCUGAUUGGACACUCCUGACAGAGACAUCCGUGUGGUUAAAAGAAUAAACGGAUAUUUCUGACCCUGCAAGAAAAAAAUUGUACAGUAAUUUCUUCCUUCACAUUCAAAAGUUCCAGCUUCCCCUGCUCUGGCUAGCAUAAGCAGGAAUUUUGAAGAGAAUUGGGAAUUUCAAGAAGUGCAUCCGGAAAUUAAGGAAGUCUAUUUAAGAGCGUCUGUAACUCAGAGGUUGGGAUUUGAAAAGUCAGCCCUGGACUACUGUUGCACUCCGCACAGAUGUAAUCGCCGCUCUUCAACUUAAUCAAUUGAUUGCUGGCACAUUUUGUUCAAAGUGAAUUCAGACAGAAGAGACGAAGGAGCAUCACAAAGGCCUCAACAAUGAUAAAAUGUGUAGAAACUGAAGUGAUGACACCAAGUGCUGAGGCCUACCUACAGGCUGCUGGAGCCACAGUGAAAUUCUGAGCACCCAUGAGGGGAGAAGGGAGAGAUAAGACAUGUGGGGCCUGCUGGUCUCUGGAAGGGGAAUCCUCUGGUUCUGUUCCCUGGCUUUAGCCCAAAUCCUUCUAGGAGCACUGGAGCCAAUCACCGCCUUCCACGGCUGCAGCUACUGGGCGCACACAAAAAAGCGGGAGAUCAAAAAACCCCAAGUUCACAUUUAUGGAUACACAAGGAUCAUUUCAUAUUCAUGACUUCAACAAAUCACAUCAUAAUCAGAUUUUAACAAGGUUUGGGCAGUGAUGCCCACCAGCCUGGGCACUAAACAUUGACACAUAUCACAGGCUAACCAGAAGGGUCACUUUUUUUAUUAUGGAAUCAUAGAGUGAAAAUUGUCUUUCAACUUUGAAAAGCUCAUUUUUCCCUUCUGAGGCCAAUUUUUACACAAGUACAUUUCAAGUAAGCACCUCUCUUUAAGUCAUUCCCGCAACGUUAUAAUUCAAAUUUCUCUUUGCUUCCUUUCUCAGUGCCAGUAGUGUUUUGAAAAACACAUGGCACAGCAAACAUCAUGGAAAACCCACUUGUUCCAUUAAAUGUCCAUACAACUGCCUUUUUACUCCUCUAA